rnacentral:rRNA from 1 species
GUUGCCAGCCGCCGCGGUAAUACCGGCAGCCCGAGUGAUGGCCGAUCUUAUUGGGCCUAAAGCGUCCGUAGCUGGCCGCGCAAGUCCAUCGGAAAAUCCACCCGCCCAACGGGUGGGCGUCCGGUGGAAACUGCGUGGCUUGGGACCGGAAGGCGCGACGGGUACGUCCGGGGUAGGAGUGAAAUCCCGUAAUCCUGGACGGACCGCCGAUGGCGAAAGCACGUCGCGAAGACGGAUCCGACAGUGAGGGACGAAAGCUAGGGUCUCGAACCGGAUUAGAAACCCGAGUAGUCC